AAGGCCAAUGAUAGUCAACUAAUAUAUUGCCUACAUUGCCUGAUUAGCCUUAUGAUUAUAAUCUGAUGUUGUUCUGAGGCCUUU
rfam:Musa acuminata subsp. malaccensis Doubled-haploid Pahang (DH-Pahang) genomic chromosome, chr9